CCUAGGUACACACAAGCGCACACAACAGUGUUAGCUAUUAUAGCUACAAUCUUAUAAAAUGAAGCUCCUCUUUCUGGUGUUACUACUAACAUACUGCACAGUGGUGACAAGGACAACAGGAUUGUUCAGAUGCAAUAGACAGAUUUCUUGUAGAGGAUAUUACUGGUUUUGUGACUGCUCCUCUCAAUGCACAUGCACCACUUGUCUAAUGCCAGAAGCCAUCACCAUCACUGUUAGUGCAACAGUUUGCCCCACAAGGGCAACACAAGUACUAGCAACUACAUCACAAACACCAGCCAUUACUACUGCUGUCAGCUUCAUGAGUGCAAUAACACCAACCACUACAAUGCCAGGAUCUACAGUUACCAUCCAACCACAGAGUCUAACCCCAGUGAGUCUAACCACAGGCUUAACUGCCUCCACUGGUAUUCUAGUAGCUCUACUGACAGGCACUAUAUUAGGAUGGGUCAGUACUUGUGUGUACUGGAGAUAUUGGUACAAACACUUCACCAAACAACAAGAAGCAACAGACAACAGUAGGUCGCUACAUAAUGCAGUGUACGACCCAGAGACCCCCCAUCCUCACACUACCCAUCCCCCACAAGCCACACCCAACUACAGCUCCCUCGGCCACGCCUACGAACUGGUCGAACCAAUCGAAGGUAGUUAUGACAUCAUCAAUAGGGGAGGGGCUAUGAUGCCACGCCCAUGUGCCACACCACCUGAAUCACAUGACCAGGAGUACAGUACGCUGGAAAACACAAGAGUAGAUCAUGACUAUCAGAUAUUGGAAGCAGGGGAAGUGAAAUCGACCAAUCAGAAUAACCAGAGCAUAACGAAAAAUUAUGUAAAUGCUGAAAUUACGAGGAAAGCCAUAGAAGAUAUUGGUAGUCAUGACGACGAUACAAGCGAUGAAAUCGACAGUGGACUAGUUGGGACUCAAGAUUGUGAUAUUGAAAGUGAAGAUAUUGACAAGACGUACGAUAAUCUGAAGCACUGAUUAUUGUGUGUGUAUAAACUUCCCAUAAACGUCAACAUUUACAAGUAAUAAGUGCAUGCAGCUGUUUAGCAUAUACAGAGAUACGUACAUGUGAUUAAAAAAUAAACAAGUGAAUAAUUAUAUCCAUCCAGGUCUGUGCAAACACACAAUUCUAUACAGUGGCGGAUCCAGGGGGAGAUCCCAGGGUGCCACGGAUCCCCCCUUUCAGACUAAGCUAUUGUGGCUUUACUACAGCUACCAGCUAGCUAUUUAUCAGUUUUGUAGCUAUUGUAAUUUGAUUCAAUGAUUGUACCUGCUGUUCUGAUGCAUCAACUGCCAAAGGAGUGUUCAGGUUAGCCUAGGUUAGCUAGUUGACUGUUCGUGGCAGCUAGCUAGCUAGCUCUACGCAAAUUUAUUAUGGGACUUCCCCUGGCUGAGUAUGGGAUUUUACCUAGUCACGUGUGACCGGAAGUGGGCGUAACCCCAAACAUUUCGCGCUGCGCGCUCGUAGUUUGAAACCCCCCUUUCAUAUUUCCUGGAUCCGCCACUGCUAUACACGUACACAACAAGACUAUAUUGACUAUAAUAAUUAUUGUACUCUUUUCGUGUACUUACGUACGUAGAUCGCAGCAUAAUGUAAAUAAACGUGCAGGCAUGUGGUGUAGAAUGGUUGAGGUUGUUGUAAUGAGUAGAAGCACCUUCAGCACAAUGGAGAUAUGGAAGAGGCACAGUCAAUACAAUAUAUGGAGUCAUGUUGAAACCUUCGCUGGGUCUGAUAAGAUAAGGUAAUUAAGUACAUAAACUGAAAGCACUAUGGGGACUCAAAUGAUACACCUACGUCAACACCAACCAUCUAUAUAUACGGUGUGCAUACAGUACUGAUAGACUAGACUAACAAAACAUAUAGUUAGGGCCUACAUCGUUCUUAUAGACUAGCUCCAAAAAUGAGGAAACUAGUUUUACUAGCACUGCUGUUACUGAUGGCUGAUGGAGAAAGAGCAGACAAAUGCCCUGGAUUUAAGUUAGUACUAAUGACACAAAACACAACGAUGAAUUGGAUAUUACUGAGUGGUGAACCACCUAUCGAUUCCGAUUCCACUUGUAAAUGCAACAUUACAUUUGAUGCAAAUAGCAGAAAAGCGAAUCUAGACUGCUCAUGUCCAACUAAGGGCUGUGAGGAUACAAAGACUACAGAAUCCUGUGGGGCAUCUACUGCAUCAACUACAAAAUUCUCAUCUACUGAUAAUACACAAUGUAAUAGCACACCGAGUGAGGCAAUACUGGUGGUGGGGUCCACCACUGGACUAUUGUUGGUUGUGCUGGUGGGUGUUAUCAUUGGGUGGAUAUGCACUUGCAUCGUCAUGAGGAGGAGACACAGACAAUACCACAUCAACCACAGAAACACAGAUGCUAACGGCUAUACAUACGCCCACUCCACCACCUCCACACCUCACCCUGCCCCCUCCUGCGAGGCCCCGGACACUAACUACAGCUCACUAGGCCAAACCUAUGACACAAUUCCUCCUAGAGUAGUCCAAAGCUUUGAAACACUGACAGUUAACGAAGCAUACGGACCGGCUAGGUCUAUAGCAAAAGAUGAUGACACGUACAGUAAGCUGGACAACAGUGUAACAAGGAGGCAAGGAGAUUCAGAGCCACACAGAGUGAUAGACAAAUACCAACAGAGAGUUGAUUCAAGGAUUGAUUGCUCCACAGAAGGACAAGACGAGCUGGUUGACGAUAACUAUAGCAAGCUGGCUGUUGCUGCUAGUAAAAGGCAUGAUUAUUUUGAACUUGAGCCGCAAGGACUACAGUCAAGUGCCGAUCAAAAGAGCUUCAAGAUUGUGACGAAGGAAACUGAGUGUGCUGGUGGAGGGAAUACUAUUAAGGGGGCGGGAGGUCGUGAGGGGAGUGUGUGUAGUGAGGGGGCGGAAGAUUACGAGGUCCCUAUUAAAGGAAAUGUGGAGGAUAUUCAAACGAUUAAUUUUUAAUACUGCAAACGCAUAGAAAACUGUUUCUCUUACAUGUCACAUGAUACAUACAUGAACUCAUAUUACGAUGAUCAUAUAAUUAUUACAAUAAACAAACAAGUUGUUGUAAUUAUAAGCACUGAAGCAAUCUCUUGUGUUCUGAUAUACACAAAUAUAUAGAAAUUACACAAUUAAGAAGUGCAGUUAGCUAAAAUUAAUGUGCUCAACUAUCAAGAUGAAGUUUGUAUUUGUACUAUUAGUAGCAGCAAUUCACUGCAGACUUUCCAUUGGACUCAACAAUAUGAGUAAGUUAAAAUAAGUAUAAUAAUUAUAACACGAGAAACUUUGUAUCAUAGAAUGCAGAAUGGCUGCAGAUCGUCUUAGAGAAAUCGAUGACCACUGUACAGAUAUUUGCGAUGAUUGUACUGAAGAUGUAUUGAGAGAGAGAUGCAAUUGCCAUCCAGACUCAUUGGAACCUUGCAUGACAGUGACAGUAACAGCUACUAACACAGUGACCUACGCUCCACCCGUGGAAACUAUAACACCAACAUGCUCUCCCCCAGUGGUAGCACCAACAUGCACUCUUCCAGUGGCAAAAGUAGCACCAUCAUGUCCCACUACCAUUACACAGUAUUCAAUUAUCACACCAACAAACUGCCUACAGUCUACACACACCAAGGAAAUGUCUACAACUGUAGGGACAAGCUACACUGACACGGUUACUAGAAACAGCAGUUCAGUAACAGACUACCUUAAUACAACUACAUGUACCUGCAGUCUAGUGACAGUCACCGCAAUGUCAACUACCGGAGGAGACUCAAACACCAGUCCGCUUAACACAGCUACUGAAGCAGCUACAAGUAACAGCAAUCCAGGGACGACAUGUAACAGUAGUCCAGUGAUACUAGGAGCAUUCAUAGCUGCUGUACUAGCAGCACUGCUGGUUGCAGUAACUACAGGAUGGAUAGUCACUUGUGUGGUCAACAGAAGGAAAGAUAAAGCCUCAACUACAAUUAACAAAGAUAACGCUCUACAAAACUCAGUGUACGAUUCCAAACAUGUCCAACGUUACCAAGGCAACCUGUCAGCUCACACACAGACAGGCUACAGCUCACAGGGUCCGGCCUACGAACAGGUCAUGGUUGAUACGGCAACUGGCUAUGAUGUCAUCAAUCGCAGUGGACCACGCCCACCAACCACACACCCUGUCCCUAUAUCUGAUCAGGACUACAGUACAUUGGAUACUGACGAGCAAGAGCAUGACUAUCAUGUGCUAGAGUCGACCAAUGCAGGGGGUCCAACAGCUGUGGGGGGUCAAGAAGCUCAAGACUAUGAGAUACCACUCAGAAAGAUGUAGUAGCUACGUAAGAGACAGUGUGUGUUUGCAAUAGAAACUGAAAGCUAACUCAACAGUUUGUAAACAACUUCAAUUUUUAUGUUUAGUUUGUGUUCUAGCUCAUUAUAAGCGAUCAAAUCGACAGUGGACUAGUUGGGGCUCAAGAUUGUGAUAUUGAAAGUGAAGAUGCUGACAAGACGUACGAUAAUCUGAAGCACUGAUUAUUGUGUGUGUGUGUAUAAACUUCCCAUAAACGUCAUUUACUAGUAAUAAGUGCAGCUGUUUAGAGAUACAUGUGAUUAAAUAAACAAGUGAAUAAUUAUAUCAUCCACGU